UAUUAUUGAAUAUGUAAAUGUUUUUACUUGAGUAGUAAUAGUUAUGGUCUUGAAACUCAAAGAAUUUGGCGGUGUUUUAGUCCUUUCAGAGGAAUCUGUCCUGUAAUUGAUAACACACGAUUUUAAAUACUUAAUUAGGUUAAUCAGUUUAUAUACCGCCGUCGUAAGAUUAUCUUAUGGAGAGUAAAAAUUUUCUUUAAUUGUUAUUUUAAUUUAUGUCAGGUCAAGGUGUAGCUAAUAAUUAAGAAGUGAUGGAUUACAAUAAAUUUAUUUAUUAUGAAUGGUUAAUUUAUAUUUUAACUUGAAAGUGGAUUUGAUUGUAAAUUAAUUAAUAUUAAUUUUUUGAUUAUGGCUCUAAAACGUGCACACAUCGCCCGUCGCUCUCGUUUUAAGGUGAG
rnacentral:rRNA from 1 species